rnacentral:rRNA from 1 species
UACAGAGGGUGCUAGCGUUGUUCGGAAUUAUUGGGCGUAAAGAGCUUGUAGGCGGUUUGUCGCGUCUGCUGUGAAAUUUCGGGGCUCAACCCCGGACUUGCAGUGGGUACGGGCAGACUAGAGUGUGGUAGGGGAGACUGGAAUUCCUGGUGUAGCGGUGAAAUGCGCAGAUAUCAGGAGGAACACCGAUGGCGAAGGCAGGUCUCUGGGCCACUACUGACGCUGAGAAGCGAAAGCAUGGGGAGCGAACAGG